rnacentral:rRNA from 1 species
CGCAUCUGUGCAUGCAGCAUAUCAAUAAGCGGAGGAAAAGAAACUAACAAGGAUUCCCCUAGUAACGGCGAGUGAAGCGGGAAGAGCUCAAAUUUGAAAUCUUAAAGGGUUUCCCUUUACGAAUUGUAGUUUAAAGAAGUGUUUUCUGUUGAGGUUUUGGUAAAAGUUCUUUGGAAUAGAACAUCAUAGAGGGUGAGAAUCCCGUAUUUGACCUUUACUUUCAACUUUGUGAUACACUUUCAAAGAGUCGGAUUGUUUGGGAAUGCAGUCCAAAAUGGGUGGUAAAUUUCAUCUAAAGCUAAAUAUUGGCGAGAGACCGAUAGCGAACAAGUACCGUGAGGGAAAGAUGAAAAGAACUUUGAAAAGAGAGUUAAACAGUACGUGAAAUUGUCAAAAGGGAAGCGUUUGACACCAGUGUUGUUUUUCUGAAAAUCAAUUAAAGAACUGUUUAUGCUAAGCUGUUUAGACUUUAUCAGCUAACUGUUUAGUUUUGAGCUUUUCUUUAAUGCACUUUUCAGUUAACAAGUCAACAUCAAUUUCUUUUGCUGUAAAAAAGCUUGAGGAAGGUGGCUUGAGAUUCGUCUUAAGUGUUUAUAGCCUCUUGCCUAUGCAGUCGGAGAGAUUGAGGUCUGCAGCGUAGAUCCUUCGGGGCUAAAUGCAUUUGUGCUAAGUUAUAACAUUUUAUAGACAACUUGUUGACUAUGAUUUGUCUUGUAGCUUACUCGCUUAUGUUAUUUUACCUACGCUUAGGAUGUUGAACGCGCACAGAGUCUC